rnacentral:rRNA from 1 species
UGUGAACGCUGGAGGUCGACUUAACAUAUGCAAGUAGAACGGCAGCACAGUAAGAGCUUGCCCUCUCGGGUGGCGAGUGGUGGACGGGUGAGGAAGACACCGGAACCUACUCUUUAGUAGGGGAUAACGUAGGGGAAAUUACGCUACUAACGAAUACGACCUACGGGCGAAAGCAGAGGAUAUUCGGACCUUGCGCGAUUGAAUGAGCCGAUGUCGGAUUAGCUAGUUGGCGGGGUAAAGGCCCACCACGGCGACGAUCCGUAGAUGGGCCGAGAGGAUGGUGCGCCACACUUGAACUUAGACACGGUCCAGACUCCUGCGGGAGGCGGCAGUGGGCAAUAUUCGACAACGGGCGCAAGCCUGGUCCAGCCGUACCGCGUGGGUGAAGCAUGCCUUCUGGUUGUAAGGCCCUUUUGUUGGGAAAGAAAAGCAGCAGGUUAAUACCCCGCUGUUCUGACGUUACCCAAAGAAUAAGCACCGGCUAACUUCGUG